GUCUGACCUGCCCAAUGAUAAUAAUUUAAUGGCCGCAGUAUUUUGACUGUGCAAAGGUAGCAUAAUCAUUAGUUUUUUAAUUGGAAGCUGGAAUGAAUGGUUUGAUGAAAAAGUAGCUGUCUCAUUUUAAAUGUUUUAGAAUUUUAAUUUUAAGUGAAAAAGCUUAAAUUAUUUAAAAAGACGAGAAGACCCUAUAGAGUUUAAUAUUUUAAUAUAAUAUUUUAAAUUGGAUUUAAAUUAAAAUAUUAUAUUAAAAUAUUUUGUUGGGGUGAUGUAAAAAUUUAAUUAACUUUUUAUUAUUUUAACAUAGAUUAAUGAAUAAUUGAUCCUAAUUUUUAGAUUAAAAGAAUAAAUUACCUUAGGGAUAACAGCGUAAUUUUUUUAGAGAGUUCUUAUUGAUAAAAAAGUUUGCGA
rnacentral:rRNA from 1 species